rnacentral:rRNA from 1 species
GACGAACGCUGGCGGCGUGCCUAAUACAUGCAAGUUGAGCGCUGAAGGUUGGUACUUGUACCAACUGGAUGAGCAGCGAACGGGUGAGUAACGCGUGGGGAAUCUGCCUUUGAGCGGGGGACAACAUUUGGAAACGAGUGCUAAUACCGCAUAAAAACUUUAAACACAAGUUUUAAGUUUGAAAGAUGCAAUUGCAUCACUCAAAGAUGAUCCCGCGUUGUAUUAGCUAGUUGGUGAGGUAAAGGCUCACCAAGGCGAUGAUACAUAGCCGACCUGAGAGGGUGAUCGGCCACAGUGGGACUGAGACACGGCCCAAACUCCUACGGGAGGCAGCAGUAGGGAAUCUUCGGCAAUGGACGAAAGUCUGACCGAGCAACGCCGCGUGAGUGAAGAAGGUUUUCGGAUCGUAAAACUCUGUUGGUAGAGAAGAACGUUGGUGAGAGUGGAAAGCUCAUCAAGUGACGGUAACUACCCAGAAAGGGACGGCUAACUACGUG